UCAGGAUGAACGCUGGCGGCGUGCUUAACACAUGCAAGUCGAGCGGAGAGUAUAAGUGAGAGCUUCGGCAGGAUCUAAUAAUCUUAGCGGCGGACGGGUGAGUAACGUGUGGGCAACCUGCCCUGUACUGUGGAAUAAUCACUGGAAACGGUGACUAAUACCGCAUGUCAUCACGAGGAGGCAUCUCCUUGUGAGAAAAGGAUUUAUUCGGUACAGGAUGGGCCCGCAUCUGAUUAGCUAGUUGGUGAGAUAACAGCCCACCAAGGCAACGAUCAGUAGCCGACCUGAGAGGGUGAUCGGCCACAUUGGGACUGAGACACGGCCCAAACUCCUACGGGAGGCAGCAGUGGGGAAUAUUGCACAAUGGGCGAAAGCCCUGAUGCAGCAACGCCGCGUGAAGGAUGAAGGGUUUCGGCUCGUAAACUUCUAUCAAUAGGGACGAAAAAAUGACGGUACCUAAAUAAGAAGCCCCGGCUAACUACGUGCCAGCCGCCGC
rnacentral:rRNA from 1 species